rnacentral:rRNA from 1 species
UACGUAAGGACCGAGCGUUGACCGGAAUCAUUGGGCGUAAAGGGUACGUAGGUGGUUAUAAAAGUUAGAAGUGAAAGGCUAUAGCUCAACUAUAGUAAGCCUUUAAAACUGUUUAACUUUAGAGAUGGAAGGGAGAGUGGAAUUCCUAGUGUAGCGGUGAAAUUCGUAGAUAUUAGGAGGAAUACCGGUGGCGAAGGCGACUUUCUGGCCUU